rnacentral:rRNA from 1 species
UACGUAGGGGGCGAGCGUUGUCCGGAUUUAUUGGGCGUAAAGAGCGCGUAGGUGGCUCGACAAGUCGGAUGUGAAAACUCCAGGCUCAACCUGGAGACGCCACUCGAUACUGUCGUGGCUAGAGUUCGGUAGGGGAUCACGGAAUUCCUGGUGUAGCGGUGAAAUGCGGAGAUAUCAGGAGGAACACCGAUGGCGAAGGCAGUGAUCUGGGCCGAUACUGACACUGAGGCGCGAAAGCGUGGGUAGCGAACAGGAUUAGAAACCCCUGUAGUCC